CCCCCCGCCCCGUAGCCAUCUGGACCUCUGCAGCUAGUUUCUGUCUUGGGAGGUCCCCUGGGCUUUCCACCAUGGCCCUAGCUCUGCUCCAGGGCCAGAGCCUGAGUGGGCACCCAGCACAGAUGCUGUGCUUGGGCGAGGUGUGGGCAAGUGUGGCCACUCUACAGGAGGGCUGAGCCAAGGCCAUGGGAAACGUCUGUUCACCGUACUCCAGGUGCCUAUGCCUCACUCUGGGCGCCUGCCCAGCUCCCUUCCAGCCCCCGCUUCCCUGCUGUUCACCCCCCUACUCUGGCUUAUCCACAGACUUGAAGGCUCCAUUAGGGCAAAUCCCUCCAGAAAGCCUUUCCCACCCACAGGGCACCCAGGCCAGGCCCAGCUGGAGCUCCUGGACUGUGCUUCAGGAGGCAGCACAGCAGCGCCUCUGGGACCAGCAGUGUCAGACCACUGUCUUCACCUGCUCCCCUCACGGUGUCCUGAUGUGUGGCUGGCCCCUUGCUGCCCCUGAGCAGUAACCUGCAGGGGUUUGUUCAGGGAGCAGUGGUCACCAGAGCGCCCAGUUUCUGACCACAGCCUCUAGAAAUGUCACUCAGGCCCAACGAGCUCCAUCUAGAGUCAGGUAUAAAUGUUGCCCACAUCUGAUGCUUUAAAUGCCAGGGGCUCAGUGCUCCCAGGAAAUGCUGGCUUCCUGCCAGGAAGGCAGGCCCGCAGGGUGAGGCAGGCAGGGCAGCUCCCACAGUGUGGCCAGCUACCCAUUGUCUCCAGGCAGCUACCAGGGGCUCGUCCACCAGGAGGCGGGCACCUGCUCAGGGCCCUCAGCAGCAUCAAGGUCUGGAUGCCGGAGCUCAGGAGGGGCUGGGGAGAGUGGCGUCUGUCUUUGCUCGGCCACUGACACGCGAGCCAGCCGUCUGGGUGAUGGGAUUUUUCCCUGGUGUUGAGAUGCUACCCUCCCCUCUACUCAAGGAGAGAGAAGAGAAUAGGAGGUGACUUUGAGUCCUCACAGCAAUGCAGUGAAGUAGAAAAUUGGCCCUAUUAUCCAUAUUCAGAGGAGAAACGGAGGCUUGGAGAAAUUGGGUGGGAACAGCAGUGCGUCCUGAUGACCCUGUUGAGUUUUCUCGCCACAGCUAUGGAAUUCUGCUGAUUUUUGACCUGGAGAGAAAAUGCCACCAGGCUAUCAAAGGAGCAGAGGAGACUGAAAUGGGUUUCCCAUGAUGAAAGGAAGCUUGUCUGUCUGUCUCAACCAUUAAUCCUGGCAAAGGCUUAGGCUCCUGCUGAGUCCCCAGUAGGGAUAGGAGCUCAUGAAUGCCUGAGCCACAUCUGCCACCUGUUGGCUAAGUAGGAUCUGCAAAUGGCAUUCUUAUCUCAAAAUGAAUUGGCAUGAUUAUUCAGUUCUGUUCUCCAAUCUCUGUGUAACCAGCACUGGGCAUCUUAUCUGUAAAACAUCUGACUUGACUGUCAGGCACACUGAGUGACAGAGGCUGACCUGUCGCGGGGGCUCUAGUAUCCCCACCACUACCCACUUCUCUCAAUUGAGUUACAUUUGCUGAACCUGGUCCCAAACUGACAGAUUCCCAUUGUACUUGUUAUUGUAAUUACAUCAUUUAAUAUGAAGUAGACUCAUGAAUUACAUGAAUUAUGAACAUGAAAAGGUAGGGAAUUGAUUCAUCGAAACCCUAGAAUGCUUUAGACAGACUCAGUAGAGGCACGUUGCUAAAAAAUAUUGUCAAAUUAAGCAUGGAUGAGUGAAACAUGCAAUAGCGAGAAAUGGGAAGAAUCUGGGAUUCUGCUCUCAGAAUACUUCAACAGUGUCGUAAAACUUGUGUUUGACUUUAAAGAAAUACUGGAAAUUGUGAAUGUCUCACUAAAAAAACAAAGAGUUGUCUUAUGUUAAAAGAAUAACAAAUGAAUGCACAUGUUCUUUAAAGUUAAAAUACAAUUUUAUGGGUAUGUGUGUGUGAGAAACAGAAAUAGAAAGAAAAGGAAG
rnacentral:lncRNA from 1 species